rnacentral:lncRNA from 1 species
UUUUUUUUUUUUCUUUUGAAAAAAAUAUUUGGAAAAAUUUUUCCUGAUUUUUGAUUUUUCUUUCUUUUUCACCCUCCUUUUUCUUCUUUUUUUCUUUUUUGAUUUGAUUUUUUUUUGAUUGAUUUUUUUUUUGAAUGCCCCAGUUUAACUGUUUUGCUGAUUCUCAUGAUACAGCUGAAUGAGCUUCUUUGGUGCUCAAGAAGGCGGGUAAUCUCGUCAGGAAUCCCCUUCAACAUCAUCUUCCUCUGCCUCAGAUACAAGGACUUCAAGAUUGGGAGAUGGCGUUGGAUCAUUAUGUUCAAUGGGUUUAGAAAUCCCUGCAUAAUGAUUCUGGAUAAUGAAAAGCUUUUGAAUUUUAAACAAGCAAAUCAUUUAUGCAGAUGAAAAAUGUUGUUUUUGUUUUUCAUGGUUUUUUGUGAUCACUGAUUUCAUGCAAAAGCAAAAAGUGAAAACAAAUGGAAAAACAAAU